rnacentral:rRNA from 1 species
AGCUCCACGAGCGUAUAUUUAAGUUGUUGCUGUUAAAAAGUUCGUAGUCGAAGAAGGAGGAGUGGGAUUUUUUUUAAUUUGGAAGAGAGGGGACGAAAUGUCUCAUUUGCGAAAGCAGAUAUUACUUGAUUCCAGACCACUCCAUUUACGAUGAUGGUAUAUUUUAUAAUAUACUAUCAUGAAUCUUGCGCAAAGGGGAGUGAUCAAAACAGAAUUUAUAUUCGUUGAACUUUAACGCAGGAGAUUUGGGAAAAUGAAAUGGUGUGCAUGAUAUGAUUUUUUUUCUUUCAUGUUCUUGCUAUUUAAUGAUUAAGAGGAAUGGUCGGGGGAAUUGUAAUACUGUGAGAAGAGGUGAAAUUCGGUGAUCCACGGUAGAAUAACAGAAGCGAAAGCGUUUUCCAAGGACAUUUCCAUUG